UACUAUAAAACAUUACAAUGAUUCGCUUGCAGCAGAAAGCAACAGUUUUCUUUUGUUUAAUUUUGAUAUUAUUUGUUUUCGAGUCCGCUGCAAUUUUAACCAGUAUCAAGAACAAGAUAUUUAAAGCUUUAGAAGAAGGCGGAAAACAAAUACAAUAUCUUGGGGACUCCACCAUGAAUGUGGGCAGCAGCAUUCAGUCAUUGGGUAAAAUAGCAGACUCACAGGUAGAUAUGGUAAAAAAAAUAGUUGGUUUAAAAACUGCACCAGCAUAAAAUUGUGAAAAUAAAUACAAAGGCUUCAAAAUGAUUGCAAAUA